AAGAACUUAGUUAAAUAACUAUAACAUUAGCUUGUCAAGCUAAAAUUACCCUAAGGUAGUUUUUA
rnacentral:tRNA from 1 species